ACCAAACCAAAUCGACUCCACAUAUUUCCCCCCGUCACACAGUUAUAAAAGGAAGCCGAGAGACAGAGAGAUUCAGACCACAACCUGAGAAAACAGUGAGAGAGUGAUGAGUUCUGUUCGCUACAAAUCAUCAGAUCCAUCGCAAUGCACACCUGUCAUUGCUUCCGAACGCAUCGAGAGUAGGAAGAAGCUGGAGAAGAAGAAGAGCCACGUGUUGCUAGAAGGCUACGUGGAGAGUCUCGCCACGCUGGAUAAUAAUAACCAAGACGAUCUGUCGAGAUCCAAGAGCUUGACCGACGACGAUCUCGAAGAUCUCAAAGGUUGUCUAGAUCUAGGCUUUGGUUUCAGCUACGACGAGAUCCCUGAGCUCUGCAGCACUCUACCUGCUCUAGAGCUUUGCUACUCCAUGAGCCAGAGAUUCUCUGACGACAACAACAAGUCAUCGCCGGAAAAUUCGUCGGUUGACGAUUCUCCGGCGCCUCCGAUUGCCAACUGGAAAAUAUCUAGCCCCGGUGAUAAUCCGGAUGAUGUGAAAGCUAGGCUCAAGUACUGGGCACAAGCCGUUGCCUGUACUGUCCAGUUGUGCAGCUGAAUGGUUCAUUGGAACACUAGUGAAGAUGUGAUAUUUACAUGAACAUUUAUCUCAGGCAGUGUUUAGCUGAGGUGGAGAUCUCAGAAAGGCAUUAGAAGGUAUCAAUGAAUAAAAAGCAUCAUAUUCUUUCUCAUUUUCAUUGCUAGUCUCAAGCUCUCUGGAGCUUUUAACUCCCCCGACUGGUUAUGGACCCUCUGAAAGUGGUGGGAGACGUGUUUAUUGAAGCUAUCACUAACUGGUUAGUGACCUCUAACUGCUGAGGUAACUAAUUCUAACUUCAUAACUUGAUCAAUAUGUUUCGUGGGAGACUUGUGUGCCUAUUUACGUGAUGCUACUUGGAUCUUUCUGAAGAAUGAGUGGGAGGAAAAGAAAGAAAAAUGGAUUCCAGAUGUUAUGUGUUAUCUUCAAGGUUAUCUUCUUCCUUAAAAGCAAACUGUUUGAAAAUCUACAUUGGUUAAGUAUAUAACUAAAUAGUGCCUUAUAACAUCCAAAGACACUCUCAUGUUAGAGCAAGAUAUGUAAGGCCUAACUAAUAUCUGUGUCAAUCUUGCUCCUAUAUUGGCUGAAGCUUCUUGGAAGUUGUAACCUUGUAAGAGGCACUCGCAUCUAAAUUUGUCAAUGUCGUUGUAAGCUU